rnacentral:rRNA from 1 species
UACGAAGGGGGCUAGCGUUGUUCGGAAUUACUGGGCGUAAAGCGCGCGCAGGCGGCUAUCCAAGUCAGUGGUGAAAGCCCGGAGCUCAACUCCGGAACUGCCAUUGAAACUGUUUAGCUUGAGGAUGAGAGGGGUGAGUGGAAUUCCCAGUGUAGAGGUGAAAUUCGUAGAUAUUCGCAAGAACACCAGUGGCGAAGGCGGCUCACUGGCCCGGUACUGACGCUGAGGUGCGAAAGCGUGGGGAGCAAACAGG